CGGUAAUUCCAGCUCCAAUAGCGUAUACUAAUGCUGUUGCUGUUAAAAAGCUCGUAGUUCGACAAGGAUUGAUUCUGGUUCUCAGUCAUGUGUGCACCAUUCGUGGUUUCAUUCGAUCAGAUCCAUAUGGAAUCGAUUCUCUUCUGACGGAACUAGCUCGGAUGAAGUGCUCUUCAUUGAGCAUGGAAUCGCUCCGCAUUAACCCCAUGCUUAAGAGCGUUCCGUCGCGAUACCGUGAACAAAACAGCGUGCUCCAAGCAAGUGAUUCAGCUCGAAUGUUCAAGCAUGGCAUUUCAGGGAAGCGACCGUGAGGUCGAUCUUUGCUGGUUUCUGUGACCGUUUCGGGGAAUUGGACUAGAGAUGAUCCUUGGGUCUUUAAGCGAACGUGUCUUCACUAGUCAUAAUCUCUUUGUCAGCCUGAGGAAGCUCUGGUUUACCGGUAUUAACAGGAGUGGAUGGAGCAGUACGUAUUGGCACGCGAGGGGUGAAAUCCUUAGACCGUGCCAAGACGAACAUAAGCGAAGGCAUUCUGCGUGUACAUCUUCGUUAAUCAAGAACGAGAGUGCAGGGAUCGAAGAUGAUCAGAUACCGUCGUAGUCUGCUACUGUAAACGAUGCGAGCUCGGGAUCAGCCAUUGUUCGAUCAUAUUAUGACCUGGCUGGAACCAUGUAUUCUCUCUUCACGCGAAAGCUUUAAGCUUAUGCGUUCAGGGGGGAGUACAGUUGCAAGGCUGAAACUUAAAGGAAUUGACGGAAUGACACCACAAGGCGUGGAUGCUGCGGCUUAAUUUGACUCAACACGGGAAAUCUCACCAGGUCAGGACGCUUAUUGGAUUGACAGAUUGAAAGCUCUUUCUUGAUUAUGUGUAUGGUGGUGCAUGGCCGCUCCUGGUUGGUGGAGUGAUUUGUCUGGUUGAUUCCGUUAACGAACGAGAUCUUGGCCCUUCAAUGACAGUUCGAUCGACCUGUAGUUCAAUGCUUUAAUGCUCCGGUAAAUGGCUUGGAUGAGAUCGAAUCUUGUACUCAAGGGGACGAUGCAUGUUAACAAUGCAUGGAAGUGCGAGCCAAUAGCAGGUCUGUGAUGCUCCUAGAUGUCCUGGACUGCACGCGGCAUACAAUGGCUGUGAGAACGAGCUUGGUUCUGUUGGAGCCCCUUGUGUGAAGACACUGGGGAAUCUUGCGAAACACAGUCGUAACUGGGAUCGUUGAUUGCAAUUAUUUGCCUUGAACCAGGAAUGCCUUGUAAGAUCGACUCAUCAAAUCGAUCUGAAUACGUCCCUGCCGUUUGUACACACCGCCCGUCGUUGCAAUCGAUCGGUCCCAUGCUAGAGAUCUUCUGGAGAUGACUUUGCUGGAUUUCUGCAUGAUGGCUUAGUCAUCAAAGUUGAUCAAUAGCAUUGGACUAGAGAAUGCAAAAGUCGAAAGCAAGGUAGCCG
rnacentral:rRNA from 1 species